rnacentral:rRNA from 1 species
CACGUAGGGCGCGAGCGUUGUCCGGAAUUAUUGGGCGUAAAGAGCUCGUAGGCGGCCUGUUGCGUCCGCUAGUGAAACCCGGGCUUAACCCCGGGUCUGCAGUGGAUACGGGCAGGCUAGAGGUAGGUAGGGGAGACGGAAUUCCGGUGUAGCGGUGAAAUGCGCAGAUAUCGGAGGAACACCCGUGACGAAGGCGGCUCUCUGGACGGUACUGACGCUGAGUACGCGAAAGCGUGGGAGCGAACGAGG